GACGAACGCUGGCCGCGUGCUUAACACAUGCAAGUCGAGCGGAAAGGCCACUUCGGUGGUACUCGAGCGGCGAACGGGUGAGUAACACGUGAGUAAUCUGCCCCUGGCUUUGGGAUAGCCACCGGAAACGGUGAUUAAUACCGGAUACGACCACUUCUCGCAUGGGAUGGUGGCGGAAAGUUUUUUCGGCCAGGGAGGUGCUCGCGGCCUAUCAGCUUGAUGGGGAGGUAAUGGCUCACCAUGGCUUCGACGGGUAGCCGGCCUGAGAGGGUGACCGGUCACACUGGGACUGAGACACGGCCCAGACUCCUACGGGAGGCAGCAGUGGGGAAUAUUGGACAAUGGGCGGAAGCCUGAUCCAGCAACGCCGCGUGAGGGAUGACGGCCUUCGGGUUGUAAACCUCUUUCAGCAGGGACGAAGCGCAAGUGACGGUACCUGCAGAAGAAGCACCGGCCAACUACGUGCCAGCCGCCGCCGUAA
rnacentral:rRNA from 1 species